AAGUUUGUUAAGCGUUGUGCGCCGCGGCCGGGCGCGGUGAUUCACGCCUGUAAUCCCAGCACUUUGGGGGGCCGAGGCGGGCGGAUCACGACGUCAGGAGAUAGAGACCAUUCUGGCUAACACGGUGAAACCCCGUCUCUACUAAAAAUACAAAAACAAAAUUAGCUGGGCGUGGUGGCGGGCGCCUGUAGUCCCAGUUACUCGGGAGGCUGAGGUGGGAGAAUGGCGGGAACCCGGGAGGCGGAGUUUGCAGUGAGCCGAGAUUGCGCCACUGCACUCCAGCCUGGGCGACAGAGCAAGACUACGUAUCAAAAAAAAAAAAAAAAAAAUGCGUUGUGCGCCGGGCUGAAACCGGCAUAAAACUGGGCAGAGCUAUGCAGUCAGCUACCCCUUCCCCCCCACCCCUACCCCCCCACACCCCCCUCGCGCCCGCUCCGCUACGUAUUCCCGGGUGCCUGGCAACAGUGAUGUGCUUUAGGCCUUUUUUAGAAUGCAUACAAACGGAACCAUAUCUAAGUGAUGUCUGGCUUUUUUAACUUAGCACAAUGCUUUGAGAUUCAUACUAUUGUGUUUAAUUAGUAAUUCAUUUGUGUUAUUGCUGAAUGGUAGUCUAUCGUAUGGGUAAGCCACAGUUUAUUUAUCCAUUCACCAAUUGAUGGGCCUGUCGGUUGUAGGGAACAGGAGAAAACUUCCCCUUUGCCCUCUGAAGGGUCACCGAAAAUCAACUGACAAGGCUGGGCCUGUAACCCCAGCCCUUUUUUAGCCCAAGGCAGGAGGAUCUCUUCUUUGUGAAGUGUGUAUUCAUAUCUUUUGACCAUUUAUUUAUUAGCUAGCUUGACUUUUUAUCUAAGAGUUCUUUAUAUAUUAUUGAGUUCUUUAUAUGUUUCAUACCAUGUUCUUUAUUAGCUAUACGUUUUGAAAUGUUUUCUACCUGUCUGUGGCUUGCCUCUUCAUUUUAAGUGUCUUUUGAAGCACUGAAGUUUUAAAUUUUGAUGUAUUUUAUCCAUUUUUUUCUUUUACAUAGUUCAUACCUUUUUUGUCCUACUUAAGACAUUUUUGCUAAAUUCAAGAUUAUAAGAUUUCCUCAUUUGUUACCUUCUGGAAGUUUUAUAAUUGUUGGUCUUCAUUAUAUUUAAAAUGAAUUAUUCUUUAUAGUAUCGAUAGAUGCUGGAGGCAGAUAAGGGAGGGUCCCUGGAGAAUCUCUGACCUGCCCCACAAGCUUUUGUGCAGCUGAGGAAGCCUGCCUAGGGUCUUGUCUGGGCAUGCCCACAAGGGACUUGGGGGCUCACUGCACCGGGAGAGUGGGGUGCAGCCAGAGGGAAUUCAGCCUUAUGCAGCAGGGAGGAGCAAGAAGUUUUCAGCUUGUGUGUGUUGGCCUGUUAUUCAGUCUGUGAGCUGGGAGCCUGUUGGCAGGACCCUCCUUGUUUUUUUGCUGAGAGCUUUUAAUAAAUGCCACUCUUCACCUUGCAAUGUAUUCACAUGCCUAAUUGUUCCUGGUCAUGAGACAAGAACCUGGAUUUUAGCUGAGCUAAGGAGCAAAAAUUCCUGCAUCAGUAUGAGAUUCAUUUCACUACCAGGUCAAAGACACAAUCAAAAGCCCGACAAAUGGAAUUUGUGGAAUUGGAACAAAAAGCUUUUCUUCCUAGGCACAAGAACAUCAAAGCAUAAAUCCUUCAGGUAUCAGCAAUGACAUCACUUAAGAAUUUCUCAGAAUCUUUGGCACCACCCCAGGCCUACCGGAUCAGAAUCUGAAUUUUUUAACAAGAUCUCAGAUCUAGUCAAGAGUCCAGUCUGAUUUCUCUUUAUUGGGACUACCACCCAAAGCAGAAUGAGGAUGAUGUAACCACGCCCAGUGACUUCUGGAUACCACUGACUCUAGGCAUUUUGCAGAUCCUGAAUUCCAGCAGAAUGGCUGACACCAACUGGUCUGAAGACCCUCACCAAGGAACUGACUCAGCGCAGGAAUGCAGUUUCUUCCUCUCCCUAUCCCUGACUUCACCCCUCACUUCUCAACCAAUCAGUGAUCACCACACUUUAGGCCAUCACCUGUGUCCAGACCCCUUAAAAACCCCAUCUGCAAACCUCUUGAAGAGGCAUAUUUGAGGUUUCCUCUCAUCUCCUCAUUUGGUUUCCCUACAAUUAUUAAAUUCUUUCUCUGUGGCAACUCCUACUUUUUCAGUGUAUUGGUCUGUUACUGUGCAACAGGAAAUCAGACCUGGUGGUCCUAUAGUAAGAGUUCACAGAAUAUGAUAUACAAAGUGAUCUGUGAUAUACAAAAACCGGCACAAUCUCACUCUUAAUAAGAAAAAUUCAACUUAAAAUUAAAAGUUUUUUUUCCUCAGAAUGGCAAAGAUCAAAGUUUGAUAACAUGGUUGGAAAGUAUGCAGACCGAUAUUCUCAUAUUCAUUGAUGAAGUGUAAAUUGAUACAUCCUUUGUCAGUACGGACAGGUUUCCCAACUCUAGGGGUGAAAUUUAUACAGACUACAGUGUGAAUGACAACCACUUCAAAUUGGGUGAUAUGAUGACCUUGACUCUGUGGAGGGUCAUUUGGCAAAAUAUCUCAAAAUAAAAAUGUACAUACAAUUUGACUCAGUGAUUUUGCUUUCUGGAAUGUUUCCUGCAUGUGUGAAUUUAUAUAUGUACAAUGAAAUGCUUCACA